GUUGCAUAUUUUUCAGAGUUGAGACUGGAGCUAUUUUAGGUGGAGUCUUUGGUAGUGCUGGACUGAUAGCACUUAUUGUGAUUUGCUACUUGUGCUUCCGGAUCAUGAAAAAGAUUAGACUAUCCAAAGACGGAUCUUGUCAACAGAUAACUAUCAACACAAUCUGCUGUAAAUGCUGCAAUUUCGGCCAGUCACCACAAUCUCCAACAUCAACACCAAAAUCAACAUUAGGGCAACCUCCAUCAUAUUCUGAAUCAUGUGAAGGAAAGCACCCGUCAGGACAGUCAACUUCUGUCACAGUGUCCGUGUCGGACGACGAACUGUAAAUGGACAAUUAUUGGGUUUGUUGACAUCAUUAUUCUAUUAUUUUGACGAUGUCGAACUACUAUUCUAAAUACUCUCAUGAAUAUAUUUUACUACGUGAGGAUACUCCAUUUGUGCCAUUUGAACUAUUAAAUGAAUCUUUUUCAAAAGAUUAAA